rnacentral:misc_RNA from 1 species
AAGACUAUAGACCUGCGGAGUACCUGCGGAAGGAUCAUUAAUGAAUAUUAGGGUACUCUUUUAACAAGAGGCCUGACCUUCAUCCUUCUACACUGUGCACUAUUAUUCAAUUCGGUCAGCUGGUAGUUUGGCCGUCUCCGGCCUUACGACGCUGCCGAGUUUCAUUUUUAAACUCUACAAGUCUAAGAAUGUAACAAACCUAAAACCAAAAAAAACUUUCAACAAUGGAUCUCUAGAUCG